rnacentral:rRNA from 1 species
AAUAGCUCACUGGUCGAGUCGGCCUGCGCGGAAGAUGUAACGGGGCUAAACCAUGCACCGAAGCUGCGGCAGCGACACUAUGUGUUGUUGGGUAGGGGAGCGUUCUGUAAGCCUGCGAAGGUGACCUGUGAGGGUUGCUGGAGGUAUCAGAAGUGCGAAUGCUGACAUAAGUAACGAUAAAGCGGGUGAAAAGCCCGCUCGCCGGAAGACCAAGGGUUCCUGUCCAACGUUAAUCGGGGCAGGGUGAGUCGACCCCUAAGGCGAGGCCGAAAGGCGUAGUCGAUGGGAAACAGGUUAAUAUUCCUGUACUUGGUGUUACUGCGAAGGGGGGACGGAGAAGGCUAUGUUAGCCGGGCGACGGUUGUCCCGGUUUAAGCAUGUAGGCUGGUUAUCCAGGCAAAUCCGGAUAAUCAAGGCUGAGGUGUGAUGACGAGGCACUACGGUGCUGAAGUAACAAAUGCCCUGCUUCCAGGAAAAGCCUCUAAGCAUCAGGUAACAUCAAAUCGUACCCCAAACCGACACAGGUGGUCAGGUAGAGAAUACCAAGGCGCUUGAGAGAACUCGGGUGAAGGAACUAGGCAAAAUGGUGCCGUAACUUCGGGAGAAGGCACGCUGGUGUGUAGGUGAAGUCCCUGCGGAUGGAGCUGAGACCAGUCGAAGAUACCAGCUGGCUGCAACUGUUUAUUAAAAACACAGCACUGUGCAAACACGAAAGUGGACGUAUACGGUGUGACGCCUGCCCGGUGCCGGAAGGUUAAUUGAUGGGGUUAUCCGUAAGGAGAAGCUCUUGAUCGAAGCCCCGGUAAACGGCGGCCGUAACUAUAACGGUCCUAAGGUAGCGAAAUUCCUUGUCGGGUAAGUUCCGACCUGCACGAAUGGCGUAAUGAUGGCCAGGCUGUCUCCACCCGAGACUCAGUGAAAUUGAACUCGCUGUGAAGAUGCAGUGUACCCGCGGCAAGACGGAAAGACCCCGUGAACCUUUACUAUAGCUUGACACUGAACAUUGAGCCUUGAUGUGUAGGAUAGGUGGGAGGCUUUGAAGCGUGGACGCCAGUCUGCGUGGAGCCAACCUUGAAAUACCACCCUUUAAUGUUUGAUGUUCUAACGUUGGCCCCUGACCGGGGUUGCGGACAGUGUCUGGUGGGUAGUUUGACUGGGGCGGUCUCCUCCCAAAGCGUAACGGAGGAGCACGAAGGUUAGCUAAUCCUGGUCGGACAUCAGGAGGUUAGUGCAAUGGCAUAAGCUAGCUUGACUGCGAGCGUGACGGCGCGAGCAGGUGCGAAAGCAGGUCAUAGUGAUCCGGUGGUUCUGAAUGGAAGGGCCAUCGCUCAACGGAUAAAAGGUACUCCGGGGAUAACAGGCUGAUACCGCCCAAGAGUUCAUAUCGACGGCGGUGUUUGGCACCUCGAUGUCGGCUCAUCACAUCCUGGGGCUGAAGUAGGUCCCAAGGGUAUGGCUGUUCGCCAUUUAAAGUGGUACGCGAGCUGGGUUUAGAACGUCGUGAGACAGUUCGGUCCCUAUCUGCCGUGGGCGCUGGAGAAUUGAGGGGGGCUGCUCCUAGUACGAGAGGACCGGAGUGGACGCAUCACUGGUGUUCGGGUUGUCAUGCCAAUGGCACUGCCCGGUAGCUAAAUGCGGAAGAGAUAAGUGCUGAAAGCAUCUAAGCACGAAACUUGCCCCGAGAUGAGUUCUCCCUGAGACUUUAAGUCUCCUGAAGGAACGUUAAAGACGAUGACGUUGAUAGGCCGGGUGUGUAAGCGCAGCGAUGCGUUGAGCUAACCGGUACUAAUGAACCGUGAGGCUUAACCUU